rnacentral:rRNA from 1 species
CCUACGGGAGACAGCAGUGAGGACUAUUGGUCAAUGGUCGGGAGACUGAACCAGCCAAGCCGCGUGAGGGAUGAAGGUACAGAGUAUCGUAAACCUCUUUUGUCAGGGAACAAAGGCGGGGACGUGUCCCCGGCUGAGUGUACCUGAAGAAAAAGCAUCGGCUAACUCCGUGCCAGCAGCCGCGGUAAUACGGAGGAUGCGAGCGUUAUCCGGAUUUAUUGGGUUUAAAGGGUGUGCAGGCGGUCUGUUAAGUCAGCGGUCAAAGCCCGGGGCUCAACCCCGGCCCGCCGUUGAAACUGGCAGUCUCGAGUUGGAGAGAAGUAUGCGGAAUGCGCGGUGUAGCGGUGAAAUGCAUAGAUAUCGCGCAGAACUACGAUUGCGAAGGCAGCAUGCCGGCUCCACACUGACGCUGAGGCACGAAAGCGUGGGUAUCGAACAGGAUUAGAUACCCUUGUAGUC